rfam:Human gut metagenome DNA, contig sequence: F2-X_000095.
AAAGGAAGUGCGCCUCUGUUAUAUUCGCCUGACGGCGAGCGAUAUUGUCCUUUGGACAGUGAUAUUAUGCUUCGCAUCGUGAUAUUGCCU